GGCGUGGGGGCUCUAUACAUGCAGUAGAACGCUGAAGAGAGGAGCUUGCUCUUCUUGGAUGAGUUGCGAACGGGUGAGUAACGCGUAGGUAACCUGCCUUGUAGCGGGGGAUAACUAUUGGAAACGAUAGCUAAUACCGCAUAACAAUGGAUGACACAUGUCAUUUAUUUGAAAGGGGCAAUUGCUCCACUACAAGAUGGACCUGCGUUGUAUUAGCUAGUAGGUGAGGUAAUGGCUCACCUAGGCGACGAUACAUAGCCGACCUGAGAGGGUGAUCGGCCACACUGGGACUGAGACACGGCCCAGACUCCUACGGGAGGCAGCAGUAGGGAAUCUUCGGCAAUGGGGGCAACCCUGACCGAGCAACGCCGCGUGAGUGAAGAAGGUUUUCGGAUCGUAAAGCUCUGUUGUAAGUCAAGAACGGGUGUGAGAGUGGAAAGUUCACACUGUGACGGUAGCUUACCAGAAAGGGACGGCUAACUACGUGCCAGCAGCCGCGGUAAUACGUAGGUCCCGAGCGUUGUCCGGAUUUAUUGGGCGUAAAGCGAGCGCAGGCGGUUUGAUAAGUCUGAAGUUAAAGGCUGUGGCUCAACCAUAGUUCGCUUUGGAAACUGUCAAACUUGAGUGCAGAAGGGGAGAGUGGAAUUCCAUGUGUAGCGGUGAAAUGCGUAGAUAUAUGGAGGAACACCGGUGGCGAAAGCGGCUCUCUGGUCUGUAACUGACGCUGAGGCUCGAAAGCGUGGGGAGCGAACAGGAUUAGAUACCCUGGUAGUCCACGCCGUAAACGAUGAGUGCUAGGUGUUGGAUCCUUUCCGGGAUUCAGUGCCGCAGCUAACGCAUUAAGCACUCCGCCUGGGGAGUACGACCGCAAGGUUGAAACUCAAAGGAAUUGACGGGGGCCCGCACAAGCGGUGGAGCAUGUGGUUUAAUUCGAAGCAACGCGAAGAACCUUACCAGGUCUUGACAUCCCGAUGCUAUUUCUAGAGAUAGAAAGUUACUUCGGUACAUCGGUGACAGGUGGUGCAUGGUUGUCGUCAGCUCGUGUCGUGAGAUGUUGGGUUAAGUCCCGCAACGAGCGCAACCCCUAUUGUUAGUUGCCAUCAUUCAGUUGGGCACUCUAGCGAGACUGCCGGUAAUAAACCGGAGGAAGGUGGGGAUGACGUCAAAUCAUCAUGCCCCUUAUGACCUGGGCUACACACGUGCUACAAUGGUUGGUACAACGAGUUGCGAGUCGGUGACGGCGAGCUAAUCUCUUAAAGCCAAUCUCAGUUCGGAUUGUAGGCUGCAACUCGCCUACAUGAAGUCGGAAUCGCUAGUAAUCGCGGAUCAGCACGCCGCGGUGAAUACGUUCCCGGGCCUUGUACACACCGCCCGUCACACCACGAGAGUUUGUAACACCCGAAGUCGGUGAGGUAACCUUUGGAGCCAGCCGCUAAGUGAGCAAGU
rnacentral:rRNA from 1 species